rnacentral:rRNA from 1 species
GGAAUUCGAUUACCGCUCAGUAACACGUGGAUAACCUACCCUCAGAUCUGGGAUAACUCCGGGAAACUGGAGAUAAUACCGGAUAAUCCGUGAACGCUGGAAUGCCUCACGGUUGAAAGCUUUAGCGUCUGAGGAUGGGUCUGCGGCCGAUUAGGUAGUUGCUGGGGUAACGUCCCAACAAGCCAAUAAUCGGUACGGGUUGUGAGAGCAAGAGCCCGGAGAUGGAUUCUGAGACACGAAUCCAGGCCCUACGGGGCGCAGCAGGCGCGAAAACUUUACACUGCGCGAAAGCGCGAUAAGGGGACCUCGAGUGCGUGCGCAAUGCGUACGCUUUUCAGAUGCCUAAAAAGCAUGUGGAAUAAGGGCCGGGCAAGACCGGUGCCAGCCGCCGCGGUAACACCGGCGGCUCAAGUGGUGGCCGCUAUUAUUGGGCUUAAAGGGUCCGUAGCCGGACCAGUUAGCCCCUUGGGAAAUCUUACGGCUUAACCGUAAGGCUGCCAAUGGAUACUGCUGGUCUUGGGACCGGGAGAGGUAAGAGGUACUUCAGGGGUAGGAGUGAAAUCCUGUAAUCCUUGAGGGACCGCCAGUGGCGAAGGCGUCUUACUAGAACGGGUCCGACGGUGAGGGACGAAAGCUAGGGGCACGAACCGGAUUAGAUACCCGGGUAGUCCUAGCCGUAAACGAUGCGAGCUAGGUGUCACGUGGAUUGCGAAUCCAUGUGGUGCCGAAGGGAAACCGUGAAGCUCGCCGCCUGGGAAGUACGGCCGCAAGGCUGAAACUUAAAGGAAUUGGC